UACGUAGGGUGCAAGCGUUGUCCGGAAUUAUUGGGCGUAAAGAGCUCGUAGGUGGUUUGUCGCGUUGUUCGUGAAAACCGGGGGCUUAACCCUCGGCGUGCGGGCGAUACGGGCAGACUUGAGUACUGCAGGGGAGACUGGAAUUCCUGGUGUAGCGGUGGAAUGCGCAGAUAUCAGGAGGAACACCGGUGGCGAAGGCGGGUCUCUGGGCAGUAACUGACGCUGGAGGAGCGAAAGCGUGGGGAGCGAACAGG
rnacentral:rRNA from 1 species